CCUACGGGAGGCAGCAGUGAGGAAUAUUGGUCAAUGGACGAGAGUCUGAACCAGCCAAGUAGCGUGAAGGAUGACUGCCCUAUGGGUUGUAAACUUCUUUUAUAUGGGAAUAAAAUGUUCCACGUGUGGGAUUUUGUAUGUACCAUAUGUAUAAGGAUCGGCUAACUCCGUGCCAGCAGCCGCGGUAAUACGGAGGAUCCGAGCGUUAUCCGGAUUUAUUGGGUUUAAAGGGAGCGUAGGUGGAUUGUUAAGUCAGUUGUGAAAGUUUGCGGCUCAACCGUAAAAUUGCAGUUGAAACUGGCAGUCUUGAGUACAGUAGAGGUGGGCGGAAUUCGUGGUGUAGCGGUGAAAUGCUUAGAUAUCACGAAGAACUCCGAUUGCGAAGGCAGUUCACUGGACUGCAACUGACACUGAGGCUCGAAAGUGUGGGUAUCAAACAGGAUUAGAUACCCGUGUAGUC
rnacentral:rRNA from 1 species